rnacentral:sRNA from 1 species
GCCAGGUAUGGUGGCCCACACCUGUAAUCCCAGCGGCUCAGGAGGCUGAGGCAGGAGAAUCACGAGUUCAAAGCCAGCCUCAGCAAUGGCGAGGCACUGAGCAACUCAGUGAAACCCCGUCUCUA